rnacentral:tmRNA from 1 species
GGGGGCGAUCGGUUUCGACGGGUCAGUAGAAGGAAUGGCAGCGUGCCCAGGUCCAGGUCCCUGGUUAAACCGCUUGGAAACGUUCAACUGCCAACUCUGAUUUGGCGCUGGCUGCGUAAGCUGAGCUUAGCUCGCUGACGCACCACUCGGGAACGGAGCUCGCCUAAGGCGACGGUACCGAGUAGCAAAUUUAGGCUGGCCUGCCGGGAUCCUCCGGCCUGGUGGGCGAGAAUACACGGAGGUUCGUUCCGGGAAGGUUGGCCGAUGACCGGCCCGGCGCUACGCAGAGACACCGGCCUACGCACGUAGACGCUGUUUUGGACGCUGGUUCGGACCAGGGUUCGAUUCCCUGCGCCUCCACUC